AUGCCGUGGUGCGGGCAUGCUGUAAUGUAUUCCUAGAGAUGUUGCCAGGCUUCCGAGAUUGUCUCAUCCUGGAGUUGUUGAAAACUGGAAAUCCUAUUCCGAAGAGCAU